rnacentral:ncRNA from 1 species
UUGUGUUUUAGAGGCUGCGAUGGGCAAAUAGUACAUUGAAAUAGGCUAGGGAGCCGCAUGAUGUUCAAUGGAAAGGUGCAAUCGCCGAAGCGCUGACCUGCUCCCUACGGAUCAGUUGCUGGGACCGUGUUGAAUAAACAUGGGACUGUCAUCGGUAAAUCACCCACUUUACCGAUGGAGUGCUACUUCACAC